AAUUCACACAUAAAUAUAUAUAUAUAGAGAGAGAGAGAGAGAGAGAGAGAGAGAGAAAGCUUCAAAUUUACAAGUCUAGAGAGAGAAAGCUUCAAACAUAUGGCCUCGACACUUCAUGCUCUUCUUGCAAUUCUUCUUUUUAAUCUUCUACUUAAAGGAUUUUGCCAGUGUGAACUAAAAGACAUAACUAUCGGGACCGAAAGGACAUCCGCAACGAUACAAGGUAAACAAGAAUGGAGCGUGAGUUUUAUAAACACUUGUAAAUGUGCACAACAAGCGCUAACGGUCUCUUGUGAUGGUUUCCAAACCGUCGAGAAAGUUGAUCCAAAUGUCUUUGCACCCGUCGGUAAGAACUGCAGUGUUAAUGGGGGGCGACCAAUUGCACCUUUUGCGACGGUCCAGUUUCUUUAUGCUUGGGACCCUCCUUUCAUUUUCGUGCCAGUCUCGUCACAAAUCGUUUGUGGAGGAUUUUAGUUAAAUUUUGCUUAUUUAUUUUUUAGUUAACAUACGUUUUAUGGUUCUACAUAUUGCAGUAUAUAUAUUUUUGUAAUUUUAUAAAGAACUUCUUAUCGAUACAAAAUAUAGGAAUCAUACAAUCAUGAUAGUGACUACAAA